GCAAGUAAGAAAAGUAAGGAUAACAUGAUAGCUGAAGUAAACAAAGAAAGGAAGUACCAGAUCUUAGCACCGCAGAAACAGACAAAUGAAAAGGAUGCAAGAACUGAUUCCAAGAAAUGCCAGAUCCUGCAUCCUUCAGAUAUGCAUCAGCAGUGUAGUACAACUGUUACCUGUUUAGUUUGUGGAUACUUUGAUUGAACAACCUGUAAAGAAGUCACCAGUUAUUUUUCUGACAUCUGUCUACUACAGAAGCUUCUGUAGAACUGGGAUACAGUAAACACCGUUUGCCUGCUGACUACGUACUAUAACAUUUCUUACUAUUGAAUAUUACCUUCGGUUUCUAUGAUGUAGGUGAAAUUGCAAGAAGCUGGAUGCACCAUCUGUAACAGCUCCAAGUCUCAUAGCUAUAAAGAACGUUGGAUACCACAUAGACCUUUGUUUGACUUUUAUACUUACUGACACUGUAUUUAAUUUGCCAGGAUCUUUUAGUAUUCUUUGACUCUUUAUCCGCCCCCCCCCCCAGCAUAAAGCUCUUGGAUUACUGAAUUUUUGAGCUGAGACAAGAUGCUAGAGAUCAUCUCAUUCAAUGCCCCCAUGAACAAACUGAGGCACAGGGAGCCCAAGUGAUUUGGCCAAGGACAAUGUUACCUCCAUUUCUUUGUUAAUCAGCUCAUUGUUGUUCAGUUUUAUAGUUUUAGUUGUCAAGUUCAGUGACAGAUAUAUUUUGAAAUUGCGAAGUAAACCUUUAACCGUCCUCCACUAAAGGCUUUUUCUGGUAUGGUUUGGUAUAUCACUUCAGUUGUUAUCCAACUUAUGGCUCUAAGCUGCAUUUGCAUAAUGUCCUACAGUCUUCUUUAGAAUGCCUUCCAGGUUCACUUAGACUUAGUAAAUAUUGGACUUCAAGUUUGAUACCUCAGAAGUGCUGAACAUUCGGCCAGUAGGCCCAUGGUGCCCCACGAUAUUCUAAAAUGGAAGAACCAUAUUAAAAUGUACUUGACAAAUAAUUUAAAAAAUAAAUAAAAACUAAUAAAACA
rnacentral:lncRNA from 1 species